GACGAACGCUGGCGGCGUGCCUAAUACAUGCAAGUCGAGCGAAGUUUUUCUGGUGCUUGCACUAGAAAAACUUAGCGGCGAACGGGUGAGUAACACGUAAAGAACCUGCCUCAUAGACUGGGACAACUAUUGGAAACGAUAGCUAAUACCGGAUAACAGUAUUUCUCGCAUGAGAGAUAUUUAAAAGUUGGUUAUGCUAACACUAUGAGAUGGCUUUGCGGUGCAUUAGCUAGUUGGUGGGGUAAAGGCCCACCAAGGCGACGAUGCAUAGCCGACCUGAGAGGGUGAUCGGCCACACUGGGACUGAGACACGGCCCAGACUCCUACGGGAGGCAGCAGUAGGGAAUCUUCCGCAAUGGGCGAAAGCCUGACGGAGCAACGCCGCGUGAGUGAAGAAGGAUUUCGGUUCGUAAAGCUCUGUUGUUAGGGAAGAAUGGAUAUGUAGUAACUAGACAUGUAAGAGAUGGUACCUAACCAGAAAGCCACGGCUAACUACGUG
rnacentral:rRNA from 1 species